rnacentral:rRNA from 1 species
GACAGAGGGGGCAAGCGUUGCUCGGAAUUACUGGGCGUAAAGCGUGCGCAGGCGGUUUUGUAAGACCGAUGUGAAAUCCCCGGGCUCAACCUGGGAACUGCAUUGGUGACUGCAAGGCUUGAGUGUGUCAGAGGGAGGUGGAAUUCCGCGUGUAGCAGUGAAAUGCGUAGAUAUGCGGAGGAACACCGAUGGCGAAGGCGACUCACUGGACACAUAUUGACGCUGAGGUGCGAAAGCGUGGGGAGCAAACAGG